rnacentral:rRNA from 1 species
GAUGAACGCUGGCGGCGUGCCUAAUACAUGCAAGUCGAGCGAACGGACGAGAAGCUUGCUUCUCUGAUGUUAGCGGCGGACGGGUGAGUAACACGUGGAUAACCUACCUAUAAGACUGGGAUAACUUCGGGAAACCGGAGCUAAUACCGGAUAAUAUUUUGAACCGCAUGGUUCAAAAGUGAAAGACGGUCUUGCUGUCACUUAUAGAUGGAUCCGCGCUGCAUUAGCUAGUUGGUAAGGUAACGGCUUACCAAGGCAACGAUGCAUAGCCGACCUGAGAGAGUGAUCGGCCACACUGGGACUGGGACACGGUCCAGACUCCGACGGGAGGCAGCAGUAGGGAAUCUUCCGCAAUGGGCGAAAGCCUGACGGAGCAACGCCGCGUGAGUGAUGAAGGUCUUCGGAUCGUAAAACUCUGUUAUUAGGGAAGAACAUAUGUGUAAGUAACUGUGCACAUCUUGACGGUACCUAAUCAGAAAGCCACGGCUAACUAGGUG